GGCGGAGCCCUCGGUGCGGGCGCCGUCGAGGAAACACGGUCUCCCGUUCCGGGGAAGGAGAGCUGAUUAGAGGAGAGGCUAAGGAUGGACGGGAUUUGUUUGCGGUGCUGAAGGCGCGUGUGUUUGAUUCGCCUGGUAGGGAUCAUGAAGUUCCUCCAUCUUGCAAAAAUGGGCAGAGACACACUAAGGCUGAAUGGCGUCACCACGUUCGUAGUGCAGAAUUAUCAGGUGUGUCUGUUCCUGGACUUGGGUACAGUGUGGGAGGGUGAAAUGAGCAGAGGUGUGAGGGCAGGGAAAGGGAGAGACAAGGAAAAGAUGAGAGAAAAGAGAAAGAGGGCUGUGAGCACCCAUUGCUCUGCAGCAUUACACAGGCUGCAGCCACAGUUGAGUUUUCCCAGGACUCAUCAAGUCACACAGAUGUUGAACUGAAUCACUGGCACAUAUCUAGAUGGGAGGUAUGAGCCAUGUAACAGUUAAAAUAAAACAAAUAAAGAGUUAAAAUGCAGCUCUGCUCGGUUCUGUUGAUCAUGCAGAAGUUGUUUCUCUAAGACCCUCCCUCGUUUCCUGGGAGAAUCAAAUGCAAAUAAUGUUGAUUAACCUCAAGGUGUUGUAUGUUCAGUGCAUGUGAAUUUUUUUUUGAAAAGCUUAGUGCUUUGGGAAAUCAGAGUCAGUAGACUUAAAACUUCUAAUUAAACAACAACAAAAAAUUAUUCACUUGGCUUUUCUGUAUAUAGGUGAAUGCUUAUAGAUAUAAAACGAGUUUAAUGUGUAGGUGGACGACCUUUAGCAUACACCAUCAGACUCCAGUGCCUUGAGCAUGUGUAUGGAAAUCUGAUGAUAGCUGAAUAAAAAUAGCUGUAUAUUCAGUAUGGAUGAAACAAAGUCUUCAAGGGUGGGGAGGAAGGCAAAGAAGGUGAAGAGAAAAAUAUAAUGUUUCUUGAAAAUGACAGGCUGUUCUAGCAGGAACUUCCAGCUGAAAUACUGGCCUGAGGCGCUUGUCGAGCAUGGGCUAUUACACUCUAACCAGUUUAGCUUUUGCAAAACUAUCAUCAACAGCAAGCACUGAGAAGUGUCAGUCAGUAUUAGCCACAGGGAGCACUGAGUGCUCCAGCUGAAACCUUGCACUCUCAUCCUGGUGUGCAGGGGUGGCACACCAAACAUGCCCCUUGAACAGCUCCUUUACACACAGGGUAGAGAGAUGGAAAUGGACAAACUGCCUGGCAAGGCUGGGGUCAUUAAAUAAAUUAUUAUUAUUAUUGUUGUUGUUAUUAUUAUUAUUAUUAUGUUUAUGUUUAUUAUUAAUUUUGUUCAUCACAUAUUUUUCAGUCUUUCCUGUGAGGUUUCUUCCGGUUUAGAAUAAAUGAGGAACAUGGGAUUAACCUUUAUCCCUUGGUUAUGGCUAUGGCUGGUUCACUGUAUAGUGUCUGGUUGAUGACAUGUAUUCAAAAUUGUCUGCAUAUUAUGUUUUUCUAUGUCAUUUUUAGAAGGACAGAGAAGGUGUGGUCUGUGUUUCUGCUAUAAAAGCUUGUUUUUCCUGCUUUGGAGACAAAGUUAAACGAGUAGGAAUGCUGUAGAGCUUUUUUUCAUGGUGAGGUUCUGAAAGAAAAACCUGGCAGGAGUACCCAGCUGACCACACUGAUCCUGCUUUACAGAGCAAAACUUAAUCGUCAGGAAGUCCUUGAGCAGUGAUGGCACAGUGUCCUGUCUGCACCUGCUCUUUCUGAGGUAAGCCCACAGCAAAGGACAGUGACUGGAGGGCUGUGCUGCAUCCCAACACAAUUCCUGCUCCAAAAGAUC